rnacentral:misc_RNA from 1 species
GAUGAAGAACGUAGCGAAAUGCGAUAAGUAAUGUGAAUUGCAGAAUUCAGUGAAUCAUCGAAUCUUUGAACGCACAUUGCGCCCGCCAGUAUUCUGGCGGGCAUGCCUGUUCGAGCGUCUUUACAACCCUCAGGCCCCCGGGCCUGGCGUUGGGGAUCGGCGGAAGCCCCCUGCGGGCACAACGCCGUCCCCCAAAUACAGUGGCGGUCCCGCCGCAGCUUCCAUUGCGUAGUAGCUAACACCUCGCAACUGGAGAGCGGCGCGGCCACGCCGUAAAACACCCAACUUCUGAAUGUUGACCUCGAAUCAGGUAGGAAUACCCGCUGAACUUAAGCAUAUCAAUAAGCGGAGGA